AACGAACGCUGGCGGCAGGCUUAACACAUGCAAGUCGAACGCAUCCUUCGGGGUGAGUGGCAGACGGGUGAGUAACGCGUGGGAACGUGCCCUUCAGUUCGGGAUAACCCAGGGAAACUUGGGCUAAUACCGGAUACGUGCGAGAGCAGAAAGAUUUAUCGCUGAAGGAUCGGCCCGCGUCUGAUUAGCUAGUUGGUGGGGUAAUGGCCCACCAAGGCGACGAUCAGUAGCUGGUCUGAGAGGAUGAUCAGCCACAUUGGGACUGAGACACGGCCCACACUCCUACGGGAGGCAGCAGUGGGUAAUAUUGGACAAUGGGCGCAAGCCUGAUCCAGCCAUGCCGCGUGAGUGAUGAAGGCCUUAGGGUUGUAAAGCUCUUUCGUCCGGGACGAUAAUGACGGUACCGGAAGAAGAAGCCCCGGCUAACUUCGUGCCAGCCGCCGCAGUAA
rnacentral:rRNA from 1 species